rnacentral:rRNA from 1 species
UACGGGGGGAGCAAGCGUUGUUCGGAUUUACUGGGCGUAAAGGGCGCGUAGGCGGUCGUGACAAGUCACUUGUGAAAUCUCCGGGCUUAACUCGGAACGGUCAAGUGAUACUGUCGGACUAGAGUACAGAAGGGGCAACUGGAAUUCUCGGUGUAGCGGUGAAAUGCGUAGAUAUCGAGAGGAACACCUGCGGCGAAGGCGGGUUGCUGGGCUGACACGUGACGCUGAGGCGCGAAAGCUAGGGGAGCGAACGGG